GAUAACUGGUGUAUUAAUAUAAGCAUGAUAGCUUAUCUUUUAUAAUAGAUAUAAAUCUUCCUGAAAUGUAUGAUUCUUCUAUUUUUCUCUAAAUUAUAAUAUAACUUUUAAUGAAAUAUUGUCUCAUUAUUUCUUGAAAGUCUUGACUAUUAAUUUCUCUUUCUAAAGCCAGAUAAUAUGUCAUAUGCUACAAUAUAUGCAAAAAUCUAUAAUUUUUAUCUUGUUAAAAAGUUCUGGCCUUGUUAUAAAUUCAUCAUAUAAUUAAAAUUAGAAAAUGGAGACUAAAAAAUUAUACUUUAAGCAUUUAAACUGUUUAUUAUAUUUAUCCUUGUACCUUUAAAAAUAAACUUCAUAAGUGAAAAUUUAUGUAAUUAAGCUUUUUGCAUGCAAAAUCUCAUUAAAUUCAAUGAAUCAUUUCAAAUUCAAAAAAGACACAAGUCUAAAAGUUCUGUUUCUGCCCACUCCAUGGAUGGUAAAGUUGUGUUCUGAUGCUUCUAAUGACUGAAAAACUUUGUCAUUGGUUCUCCUUUUCUAUCACAGUGGAGAAUUCACAAUAGAUUUUUGUCUUAAGGUGGCUGAAAUUGAACUCGCUACCUUAAAUGUAGAAAAAUUGAAUCUAUGAUAAGGAAAUCACAAUAUCUAAUAUGCAAUUACCACUGUCAGUCUUUCAGCUCUCAGUGAUUACUUAUGUUAUCUGUCCCAAGGAAAAAAAGUGGAAAGUGAAAACUGUUCCUAAAUAUACCUAUCUUUUCAACAUAUGUCCUUUAAAAAAAAAAAAAAAAAAGGACUACUAACUCAGAGAUAUGAGGGAGAAAAAGAAAAUUCGGAUAAGUAACAGCUUACUGUUACUAUUUGUGUUACUAACCAUUACUAUUUACAGCACACAUUCACAUCCUAGAGCUGACCUAGUCUUCCUGUGGAUCCUUGUGGGUGAAAAUCUGUGCAGGAGUCACAGGGUGCAUUCACAGCCCAGAAAGUUAACCAUAAAAAAAACCCCAAAAAACUGUAACAAACCCCAGAAGCCGAUUCAAAAUCAGAAUGGACAGUAGGUCAAGGAAGGGUGUUCUCCCCCUCUACUCUUCCCUCUUGAGGGUCCCACCGGCAUUAUUGCAUCCAAGACUGGGGUGCAAGACUAGAAGGGCUUGUCAGAAUGGGUCCGGAGAAGAGCCACAAAAAUGACCAGGGCACCUCUCCUAUGAAGACAGGCUGAGACUUCCAGGGUUGUUCAGACUGGAGAAGGCUUGGAGGACACAUCAUUGUGGCCUUCCAGUGCCUUAAUGGGGCUUAUUAAAGGGAGGGAGAGGGACUUUUUAUACGAGCACAUAGUGACAGGACAAGGGGCAACGGUUCUAAACUGAAAGGGGCAGGUUUAGAUUGGAUGUUGGGAAGAAAUUCUCCAGUGCAAGAGCGGUGAAGAACUGGAACAGUUUAAUCAGAGAGGCUGUGGAUGUCCCAUUCAGGGAGUGUUCAGUUCCAGACUUGAUGGGGGAAUUGAGCAAGCUGGUCUAAGGAAAGGCAUCUCUGCCCAUGGCAGUGGGGUUUGGAACCAGAUAUCUUUAAGAUCUCCUCCAACCCAAACCAUUCUAUGAUUGCAUUAUUUCAGUGCUGCAUUAAAACAAUGCUAAUACAGUAAGUUUGAGAUGCUGUGUUUAGUUUACUCAGUUACAUUAGAAUAAGUGGAGAAAAAAGGUUUAAGAUAAAGGUAAGUGUAGCUAGUGAUGUUAAACUCCCAGUGUUCAGCUCAUAGCUAUGACUAUAUACAUUACCACAGCAGUGGAUAAAGGUAAUCCUCUUUCUACUUUGAAGAAUACUUAGAAUUCUUUUAUUGCAUCAAAAUCCCACAGGAAUGAAAUGAGUAUUAAAUCUCAUAAAGUGGAGAAACUCCAAGAGAGAGAUGCACUCUCGCUUGUAGUAGAGUCUGUGGGUGGCCAUGAGUGGCAAAUUAGAUAGGAGUUUGCAGUGUAAUAUGACAGAAAAAUGCAAUUCAACAAAAGUAACAAGUCAUGGAGAAUGACAGCAGUUGUCAUUCUAUACAGCUCAUGUGAUAUAGGAUCACCCAAACACACCAUUCCAUUGCAUGUAGUUUGGCAUCAGAGAAGCUGUUGAUAUACAACUUGAGAAGAUAAUUUGUAUUGAAGGGCUGCAUAUUUGAAGAAAAAAAAAAAAAUAGAAAGAUGUAGGUGGGUGGACAAGAGGAUUACCCAUUGAUAAUUUCCUAUAUAUACCUGAAGAAAGAAAAUCACUGGUGGGAUUAACUAUUGUCCUACUGGAACUCGCAGUGCUACUGGAAUGCUAUUGCAUCCCUGCAACAUCAGAGCUAAAUUUGUCUAAAGCGUACUAGAAUAUGCACUAGAAAUUUGUUUCACUAAAAUGUUGAUAUAUCAAUGCCUUCAUUAAUCUUUAUAAUAUAAUUCCACCUUUUUUUAUAGGAUGAAAACAAGGAGGAAAAAUAUGGUGAUGUGAUUAGUUAAAGCUGGUGGGAAGCUGAGCCCAACACAGCUGCUCACUCAGUACCUGACAGUGGGAUGAGGGAGAGAAGUGGAAGAGCAAAAGACAGUGGAAUUGAGUGACCCUCGAGCAACUUUGCUGACUACACCAAUCUGUGUGGUGAUGUUGAGAUGCUGCAGGGUAGGGGUGACAUCCAGAGGAACCUUGAUAGGUUUGAGAGAUCCAGACAGUGGAUUAAAGCAUAACAUUGCACUUUAUUAAAAUAGAUGAACUGUUUUAAUAAUCAUGAGAAGAAUAUGGAAGAAAAUUGUGAAUUAUGUGAAUUUAUGUGAAUUAAAAGAAAAAUUAAAAGAAAAAAAAACACCUCUAAAAUUCAUCUGUAAAGAUGAAAGAAUGGCAUCAGAAUAAUGCUAAGGAGGCAUCUGUCCACUUUUACUGCAAUGUCUUUAGUGAGAGAGUAAAUCACAUCAGUUGGUAUUCGUCUCAUCUCAUCUAUUUUCUGCUGGCUAACUAUGAAAACUAUGUUUUAUGAAUACAAACUCUCCCAGUUUAAGCUCUGAUACAAAAGAUUGGUACAUCUAGCAAAAUUAUAUCCAGCUAUUUCCUAUUUUGUUUGCAGCAAUGAGGAUUACCCUUAAACCAACAAUCAACCAACCACCAACCAACCAACCAACCAAACAAAAACUCUCUGGAUCAUAUUAAUACUGAAAAUGAAAAAAAAACAUGAAGAAAGCAUAUUGUAUAAGUGUUCCUAAUAUAAAUCAAGCAUCAUGACACUAUUACAAUACACAUUGAACAAUACUUUUUGGCGUGUUUCAUCCAAUAUUCUAUAUGAAUUAAAUGGAAACAUAUACCAAUUUAAAUAACAUACAACAAAAGUGAUGACUAGCAGAGGAGUAAUGCAGAACUGUUUAUUGAAACCUAAGAAGGGAGGUUGUCAUGGAAACAGCUGGGUUAGAAAUCUUUUUGUUGCUACAAUUUUAUUCAGCUGAUGUUUAUUCUUUAUGUUAUUUUAAUAAAUUCAUCUUCCGGAUGUCAUUCCUGAUUUUAAUUUUUUUCAGAAUAAGGUGUUAUGUUAAGAACUUUUCAGAUGUAAAGAAAAGACUAAUGGCGUAUUCAUGUACACUGAAACAUACAAAAAGGAAAAUUUUCAUUUUACUCCUACUCUCAUUUAGCUGAAAGACUAAAAGAAAAGUUGAGUAGAAGAGUGAGUCAUUCCCUCCAUAGAAGGCUAUCAUGACACGCUACACAAUAUUUUGCCUCAAGUGAACUAAAGGAAGAAGGAAACCUGUAAAAACAGUCUCACUAAAUUUGAACAACUUAAAUUAUUUAUCCUACAUGAAUAAAACAAGAGAAAUGAAAACAGCAACUAAUAGAAGUAAUUUUAAAAAAUAAUUUAAAACCAAAAAAUCUUUAAAAUUAAAACAAAUAAAAUAAACAAGAAGCAGGUUAACCAGAAAAGGAACGUAAGUACUCAGUGACAAAAAAGAAAAAUUCUUGCUAACUAGCCUGUCUGCAAGAAACAGAAAUUUAAUUUGUCUUUAUGAACAUACCUGCAACAAAUACAACUUUGUAAAUAUUAAUUUUCAUAGAGAAAAAAAAGGUGAAAUACCAAAGGAAGCAGAAUGGAAAGGGUAACAAGUGGCAUGUCUUCAGAAAACAAUCUGAAGGAAGCAAUAUAAAACAAAUUUAAAAGCAUACUCAAAGAAUUAAUAGUAUUUCAAUCAGCAAUAUAAAUGGCCAAAAUGAAAAGAAACACUAGGGACCAAUAAAAACGAUAUGAAGACUGAGCCACAUAAAAGAAAAAUGUACAA